AGACCCGCUGCAGGACUUGCGUGCGUCAUAUGCCGUCUUUGCUCAGCCUCCUUCCUUGGCUGUCCCACGCCUCAGGCCUGGUCAGAACUCACCUGCGCCGGAGUCCUCAUCUCCAGGCUCCAUCUGGGGAACACAGCCCAUGGCAGUGGGCUAAACCUCACCGUGUUCCUAGACCUCAAGGCAGAAGCAAGUACUCUGCUGCAAGAGAGCCCACCCCCAGCCCCAUGAAUUCAAAGCCUGGUGCUUUCGAGCAUUUGUCAGGUGUCACCGGAAGGCCUCACAUUUGGCCGGGGAAGAAGAUCACCACCUGCCUAAACCGAAUGUGUCAGGGAAGGGACAGCCUGCGAUACAUUCACCUCUCCAAAAAACGUUGCAGUCUUUCAAAAUUUUAUGUGGAAAGAGAGAAUUGUGUUUGGGGUGUGUCUAUGUAUAUUCGGGGAAAGAUAAAAUUGGAAAUGGUGAGUAAUUCUAACUUCCUGUCACAGGUAUUUAUCAAAGGAAAAGUUUCAAAGUUUAUGGGUGAAGAGGAGAAAUCUUAAACUCUGUAGGUCUGCUUUUGGAAGUUGAUAAUGCUGGGAACACCCAAAAUUGCUCACACGUUCUUCUUCCUAAGUUUUAACUUUGGUUUGUGGGGUGUUUUGGAUUUUAUUUAUUUAUUUAAUGAGAGAGAGAGUGCACAUGCAAGAGCAGGGGUGGAGGGAGAGAGAGAGAAUCUUAAGCAGGCUCCAUGCCCAGCACAGAGCCUGAUGCGGGGCUUGGUCCCACGACCCUGAGACCAUAACCUGAGACGAGAUCAAGAGUCAGACACUUAACCAACUGAGCCACUCAGGUGCCCCAGCUUUACCUUAGGUUUAAGUUUGAAUGUUUUAUAUCAAGAUGCUUGCACAUUAAAAGUAACAGGUUAAUGAAAAAGUCAAAAACAAGGGUUUGAAAGAGGGAAGAGCAGAACUUUGCAUUGUUGUCCCUUGAAUGGGAAACAGAGAUGUCUAUGUAUUUAUUUAAGCCCUUAGGUUUAGGUGCAGGAUGUGAACAUUAAAAUCAUGUUUGAGUAAUCAUAAUUUGUUCUUCAAUCUGGCAUUGGUCAAAUCUAAGAAAGAUUAGAAACAGCAUUUGGAGAUCAUUAGGCCUUCUGCACGGCCAAUCCAAGUCCUGCUAUGUGCCCAGCCCCUCCGCAGCCGCCCAGCAGCCUGGCUCUGGGAUUAGGGGAGCUCAGCAGCAGGUCAUCCUUAAGCUGACUCGCCCAGGUCAGUAUCUGGGGUUCUGCUUCAUUCCAAUGCCUGAAGCCCAGACAGUGGCAUCCCAUCCAAUCCCUCUGGGUCAGUUCCCCUGGCUAAUGAGCAGCUCCAUGAUUUACUGAAUGCCAGCUUCAUGCCAGGCAGUGGACAGGGGAACUUCUCAGCACAAGUGUCCCGCACUUGUAUCAUUAGCCCCUUAGUGCCUGUAACAGAGAAGUCCACUGAGUACCCUUUCCCAUUCAUGCGUACCCCUGCCUCUUUGCUCUGCCUCAGCCCUGACACAAACCUCAGCCCUUCCUCUGGU
rnacentral:lncRNA from 12 species